rnacentral:rRNA from 1 species
UGAAGCAGCAACGCCGCGUGAGGGAUGAAGGGCUUUUGCUCGUAAACCUCUGUAGUGAGGGAAAAAAUUUCCAUUCUAUGGAAUAUGAUGGUACCUCAAAAGUAAGCCCCGGCUAACUACGUGCCAGCAGCCGCGGUAAUACGUAGGGGGCAAACGUUGUCCGGAUUUACUGGGUGUAAAGGGUGCUCAGGCGGUUUUGUAAGUCAGAAGUGAAAUCCUAGGGCUUAACUCUGGAACUGCUUUUGAUACUGCAAGGCUUGAAUGUGGAAGAGGAGGAUGGAAUUUCUGGUGUAGCAGUGAAAUGCGUAGAUAUCAGAAAGAACACCAGUGGCGAAGGCGGUCCUCUGGUCCACUAUUGACGCUAAAGCACGAAAGCGUGGGGAGCAAACAGGAUUAGAUACCCUGGUAGUCCACGCCUUAAACGAUGAAUACUAGACGUUGGGGUUAAACUCAGUGUCGCAGCUAACGCAUUAAGUAUUCCACCUGGGGA